CAAGCAAAUUGUGCAAUUAGUUAUUUUUUUCUAUAUUUAAUGCUUCAUGUAUAUGCCGCAAGAUUCGAUGUGAAGAAAUCUUAAUUUUUUUUAAAAAAAAUCAGGUGUAAGUAAACAAGGCCUGAAAGCCAUCGGUGCUGAUUCCAAGUUGAAUAAGAGCUGCCGGUGAAAUCUCCAUAUACUAUAUUUAAAAAAUGGUUAGGAGAUAGGAUAUCUAAUAUCCGUCGGUUGGAAACAAGAGAGGGUUGGCCAAAGAAAAAUCAAAUCAUAGAGAGGAGAGAGUACGAAUUAGAAAUUUUACCAUGGAUUUGAACUGACACGAAUAACUUUGAUUUAGUUUUACAAAAAAUUACAAAUGUUUUGCUAAAUGCAUUUACACCACUAUUUUUUUUAUCGUUAACUGAACUGGAACAAAAAAAUUUUCGCCCUUUUCUAUCGGAAUUAUUAUGCACUUUUCUUAAGUAUCAUGCUCUUUUAUCAUUGUAGAAGAAAAGAACCUAUUUACUAGUAACAUUUGCAUUGUAUAUCCCAAAAGUAUUUAUAAAUUAAUCCAGCCGGC
rnacentral:lncRNA from 1 species